rnacentral:rRNA from 1 species
AUUGAACGCUGGCGGCAGGCUUAACACAUGCAAGUCGAGCGGUAGCACAGGGGAGCUUGCUCCCUGGGUGACGAGCGGCGGACGGGUGAGUAAUGUCUGGGAAACUGCCUGAUGGAGGGGGAUAACUACUGGAAACGGUAGCUAAUACCGCAUAACGUCGCAAGACCAAAGAGGGGGACCUUCGGGCCUCUUGCCAUCAGAUGUGCCCAGAUGGGAUUAGCUAGUAGGUGGGGUAAUGGCUCACCUAGGCGACGAUCCCUAGCUGGUCUGAGAGGAUGACCAGCCACACUGGAACUGAGACACGAUCCAGACUCCUACGGGAGGCAGCAGUGGGGAAUAUUGCACAAUGGGCGCAAGCCUGAUGCAGCCAUGCCGCGUGUGUGAAGAAGGCCUUCGGGUUGUAAAGCACUUUCAGCGAGGAGGAAGGUGGUGAGCUUAAUACGUUCAUCAAUUGACGUUACUCGCAGAAGAAGCACCGGCUAACUCCGUG